rnacentral:rRNA from 1 species
UACGUAGGUGACAAGCGUUGUCCGGAUUUACUGGGCGUAAAGAGCGCGCAGGCGGUCGAUCAAGUCGAGUGUGAAAGCCCCCGGCUCAACUGGGGAGGGUCACGCGAUACUGAUCGACUCGAAGGCAGGAGAGGGUAGUGGAAUUCCCGGUGUAGUGGUGAAAUGCGUAGAUAUCGGGAGGAACACCAGUGGCGAAGGCGACUGCCUGGCCUGUUCUUGACGCUGAGGCGCGAAAGCUAGGGGAGCAAACGGG